GGCCCUCUUCGCCGAGGGUGAGAGUUCCCGUAACCAAUCAAUUUUUUUUCCUCAGAUUUCUUUUCUCUCUCUUCUUUUAAUAGGCCACCUCUCUUCUCCCGAUCUCUUCUCCAAAUCUCGGCCCUCUUCUCCCGAUUUCUUUUUCCUCAGAUAUUUUUUAAGAAUUUAGGAUUAAUAUAUAUUUUAAUCAAAAAAUUGGAUAUCGUAACCAAUUAAGAAAGAAGCUCACCGACAUCUAAGCCACCACUGCGCAACCGAGCCAUCAGCCGCCGUUUAAAAUCCGGCGACGAGUAAUUGUCGCCACCGGCGACUUCUGCCAACGCCUCCUCAACCUCAGCAUGAAUGAUGCUUCUGACGGCGUCAUCUUGGUCGCAAUUAAAAAUUUCUUCAGAGAAUCUUCGAGUUCGAAAUCCGGAGAGUUGUUUUGAUCUGAUUCGUCAUCGUCGUCAAUUUCUGGUUACGAUGUGUUAAUUAUGAACAUGUCCUGACUAUGUUCAGUGGUAUUAUCUUAAGUGGUUUUCAUUUUUUUUACUGUGCUAAGUAGGUUAUGUGGGUGCUGGCUAUUUGAA
rnacentral:lncRNA from 1 species